AAUGAACGCUGGCGGCGUGCCUAACACAUGCAAGUCGAGCGAGAAAGCGACUUCGGUCGUGAGUAAAGCGGCAGACGGGUGAGUAACACGUGGAUAACCUGCCUGGAAGCGGGGAAUAACUAGGGGAAACUCGAGCUAAUACCGCAUACGUUCACACCGUGCAGGCGGUGUGAAGAAAGACGGCCUCUUCUUGAAAGCUGUCACUUCCAGAUGGGUCCGCGUCUGAUUAGCUAGUUGGUGGGGUAAUGGCCUACCAAGGCGACGAUCAGUAGCCGUCCUGAGAGGGAGAUCGGCCACACUGGAACUGAGACACGGUCCAG
rnacentral:rRNA from 1 species